AACGAACGCUGGCGGCAUGCCUAAUACAUGCAAGUCGAACGAGAUCUUCGGAUCUAGUGGCGCACGGGUGCGUAACGCGUGGGAAUCUGCCCUUGGGUUCGGAAUAACUUCUGGAAACGGAAGCUAAUACCGGAUGAUGACGUAAGUCCAAAGAUUUAUCGCCCAAGGAUGAGCCCGCGUAGGAUUAGGUAGUUGGUGAGGUAAAGGCUCACCAAGCCGACGAUCCUUAGCUGGUCUGAGAGGAUGAUCAGCCAAACUGGGACUGAGACACGGCCCAGACUCCUACGGGAGGCAGCAGUAGGGAAUAUUGGACAAUGGGCGAAAGCCUGAUCCAGCAAUGCCGCGUGAGUGAUGAAGGCCUUAGGGUUGUAAAGCUCUUUUACCCGGGAUGAUAAUGACAGUACCGGGAGAAUAAGCUCCGGCUAACUCCGUG
rnacentral:rRNA from 1 species